UUUCUGCUCACAACGUUGGCACAACAUAUGCAUACGCACUGUUGCCCAUUUUUCUGUCCGUGCGUACGCACGAAUGAACAUUAGUACGCACCCCCAAUUCAUCCCCUUCUGCUGGGAGCACCCGCAGAGUUGGUGCGUUCGCAUCCCCCUACUCUUCCUUCCCUUCUCUUUUCCUAUUCCCUGAGCCACCAUAAGCCCUCCUCUUCUCCGUUUCGAGUUCUCCAACCACCAGAAUCACCAGCGUCGAACCACCCGCCACCACAACCGCCGGCGACCGCCGUGCCCUUUCCCCUCUCUUCUCUCAUCUCCUCUCUCAUCCCUUUUCUGUUCCCCAUUCCUGAAUCUUCGCGGUACCCUAGUGCCGCCCAGAACCACCUUCCCUGUCUCACCUUCCGCCAGAGCCCCACCUUCCCCCUAUCCGAACUCCGAACCCUAGCCUCGCCUCAGCCUCCAGUCAUCACCACCGCAGCCGGCGUCUGUCACCCACAGCCGACACAGAGCCACCACAUCUCUCUCUUUCUUCCUCUUCCCCUCACCACUGACCCAUGGCCGAACCACCAUCGCGAGCCGCCUCCAGCUCGCGUCUCUUCCCAGCCACCAUAACCUCCAUCGUCUUCACCAUCAUCAUCACCUCAGCGCCGCCACAGCCACCUCCCUUCACCACAAUCGCCGGCGAUAACCCACAUCGCCACGCCCCUUUCUCUUCCCCUUUCCCUCUUCUAGCUUCCACCGAGCCCAGUGCCAUCGCGACGUUACCCUCGCGCCUCCUCUCCCGGCCGAACCACCACCGCGAACCACCGUAGCCUCCUCCAUCGACGAGCCACGGCGACCCAACCCUCUUUCCUCCCAGACACGAGCUUCUUCCCCCUGUUGCUCUUCACUGCCUUCGAAGGCUAGAACAGGGUAAGGCCCCUGUUUCUUUGCUGCGCCCCUCCUCCGCUGCUGCCAUUAGAGCAGCUCCACCACCAGGCCAGCUGAGUUGCUCCAGCCGUUCACUGACCAUCAUCAACCUUCUUCUUCCCUUCCCUUCCUCUGUUCCAAUUCUGCUUCCCAGCACCACCAUCACUCUUGCAACCACUCUAUGGCCUAACCCACCAGCUGAAGGUGGAGGUGACCCAGUGACGACUCUUUCCACUCCGCAUGAUCUUGAGCACCGAGGACGGUGCCACAUCUUAAGUGUGGGGAGGUUGUGCAACUUCAACAAGCAUAUUUUGGGUUUUGAAGGCAAGAAUGACUUGAAGAAGUGGAAGUAAAGCAUGCAAAGUGGAAAAAUUCAAGAAAUGAAGGAUUUGUAAAGUUGUCAGUCCUGACCUCUCGAUACUAAAUUGAUCAUAACCUGAGUUACAGAGGUCCAAAUAAGGCGGUUUCAGCGGCAUUGGAAAGCUAACUUCCGGGGCUUCAAAAUGAUAUACAAUUUGCUAUAGUGGACAUAAGUUUAAGUGUGCGUACGCACAAGUCUUGGCACGUGACCUCAUUAAUUGCAACUCGCUGGCAGCGAUUUUUGGGCCCACAAAACCCAAUCCAACACAUUUCUGAAGCUAUUUCAAGCCAAAUUGAAGAAGGAUGAAGGGGAGAGCAAUUAGGUUUAGUUUUGUACAUGUUUUGUUUAGUUUUCUAGGGAGAGAAGCUCCCCUUUCCCUUUAGAAUUAGGGUUUUUAGCUUUAUUUUCUCUUUAAUUUAUUUCUUUAAUUCUUGUUUUAAUGUAGUUUCAUUUACAUUUUCAUGUUUUAUUGCCUUUAAUCUCUUAGUUUCCUUUGUUAAUGUUGCUUUCAUGCCACUUUAGUUCUUUAAACACACUUGUCACUUUUAAUUUCAUUUAAUGCAAUUUUGACGUUUUUAUGU